rnacentral:lncRNA from 1 species
CGUCACCUCUCUCUCUUUCCUUCAAAUCACUGCAGCUCAUUUUUCAUUUGUGCCACCAGGUCAAUGGUCAAGACAUGCAGGAGGUCAGCCACCACGAGGCUGUCAGCGUCUUGAGGAAUGCUGGGAGCUGCAUAAAAAUGAAAGUGCUGAGGGAGCUAUGCGUGCCCUUGGAGCCGCGGAUGCACGAGAGCUUUGACACCAUGGAGACAGCAGACCUCCAGGUCAACCAAGAGUGGGAUGUUACCACGGACAAUAACAGAUCAAGUGGCCCACACUCCUCCACUGAUCCCAUGCUGGACUGCAACCCAACGGCCAACAGGAUGGAAGCUACGGUCUGCAAUGGAAAUGGACUGAAUGAUCCAGUACAGGACUUACGGCUGACGAAAGACACAGAGAGCUUCAAAAACAAUGCCCUACAGGUUGUGAAAAACACCAUGACGAUUCCUCGGAUUAUUCUGACUCACCCCUCUACCUCAGAUGAAGACGUGGAGCCCCUGACGCAGGGCUCAGAUGAUGGAGAUUUUGAUUCUGACUUCAGCGACUCGGACAGUCACAUCUACUCGGACUGUCUGAACAGCGCUUUCUAUCCUCUGUGAAAGAUAGAGAAACACACCAACUUCAGAUGUGCCUGUGUCCUCUGGUUAAGUGAAAUUGUUCUGGCUGUGGUCCACAAUUGCUGGAGCAGAAACUGAGUGACGUGGGAUCGAUACUUCAGGCAAAGUCCACAGUCCCAUGAUGCUUGCAUACCUAAAAAAACUGAACUGUUUAGUACACCAUUGUGUGA